rnacentral:lncRNA from 1 species
CUUGUUCCAGCAUUUCACUGCCAAGUGCCAGAAGAAUGAGAAAUAUGCUACUUCCAGAUUGAACAUCUUUUUCAAUCCUAGUAAAAUAUGACAAAGUACAGAGAAGCCAAAAAAUAUUUGGACCAUCAAGCUCAUCAGAAAUGCUGCUUAUUGGCUGGGUGUGGUGGCUCACGCCUGUAAUCCCAGCAUUUGGGAGGCCAAGACUAACACCACAUCUACAGACACUGACCCUAGAUCACACCUCCAGGAGACAGGAGACAACAUCUUAACACUUUUCACCAUGCAUCCUCCUCUUGAAUCAGAGUGGACUAUUUGUAACUUUCGCCAGCACCUGGGCAUGAGGGAUUUUGGUAAAGCACAGGAAUGAGAGAAGAUAAAACAAAACGAAGGAGCUUCACAGAACUGGAGCAUAUG